GCCCUCGUAGCCCAACGGCAGAGGCACGGCGUUCAGGACGCCGCCGGUGUGAGUUCGAAUCUCACCGAGGGCA
rfam:Actinospica robiniae DSM 44927 genomic scaffold ActroDRAFT_ARA.1, whole genome shotgun sequence.